AAGACUAUACUUUCAGGAAUUAUUUCUAUAGUUAAUAACUAGAGAAAUGUGAUUCUAAAGUGUAUGGUCGCGCAAACUACGAUGACGAGAUGCUGUAUUCCUUCCUGAGCGUGAAGCUGCCAAGAAGUCUUGAUUUAUGUCAAACACUCUUUGACAUUGAUGAACGUUCGCUGCAUCUUUUGGAGCAAUGAGGGAGGGAAUAUGUUCAGAGGAGU